UACGUAGGGUGCAAGCGUUAAUCGGAAUUACUGGGCGUAAAGCGUGCGCAGGCGGUUAUGUAAGACAGAUGUGAAAUCCCCGGGCUCAACCUGGGAACUGCAUUUGUGACUGCAUAGCUAGAGUACGGUAGAGGGGGAUGGAAUUCCGCGUGUAGCAGUAAAAUGCGUAGAUAUGCGGAGGAACACCGAUGGCGAAGGCAAUCCCCUGGACCUGUACUGACGCUCAUGCACGAAAGCGUGGGGAGCAAACAGG
rnacentral:rRNA from 1 species